rnacentral:rRNA from 1 species
AAUCAACGCUGGCGGCGUGCCUAACACAUGCAAGUCGAACGCGAAAGCCCUUUCGGGGGUAAGUAGAGUGGCGUCCGGGUGAGUAACACGUGGGUAAUCUGCCUCCGGGUGGGGAAUAACUCGCCGAAAGGUGAGCUAAUACCGCAUAAUGCAGCGGCACCAAAUGGUGAUUAGUUGUUAAAGCGGGGGACCCUUCGGGGCCUCGCGCCUGGAGAGGAGCCUGCGGCAGAUUAGCUAGUUGGUGAGGUAAUGGCUCACCAAGGCUUCGAUCUGUAGCUGGUCUGAGAGGACGGCCAGCCACACUGGCACUGACACACGGGCCAGACUCCUACGGGAGGCAGCAGUGGGGAAUUUUGGGCAAUGGGCGCAAGCCUGACCCAGCAACGCCGCGUGAGGGAGGAAAUCCUUCGGGAUGUAAACCUCACAAGCAAGGGAAGAGCGCUACAGGUCGAAUAAGCCUGUAGUCCGACGGUACCUUGCGUAAGCCACGGCUAACUACGUGC